ACAUCCGGGAAGGAUCUGUACUUGGCUUCUACACCAAAUUGAGAGAUUUUAUUGAAGGUUCUAUGCAUAGAGGACUCGUCGGUGAUAUUCUCCAAGAGCCCAGAUCGGAAAGAUGUUCCGGUAAGACGAGUAGUUCAAGGUAGCUCUCUCCCCAGCCACCAUUAGGUAGCUGCUUUGACAACAAAAACUGGCAAGCUUUGCGCAAAGCCUCACAGUUCUGGUAAUUUCUCCCACAGGACGUUAGUCCCUCUACAGCAAACCAGGUACCAUAUGUGUAACAUAUUCCCCAACAGCCGUACCUGUGGAAUUGAUUUUUUCUUAGAGAACAAGAUAUGUAAAAAGUAUGUUAGGCACCUUAAUAUCCAAAUACAGUUCUUAGUGCUUGUAUGAGUUACUUGGUAAAUAGCACAGUAGUCUAUUUUCGGAGGAUGUCAAAGAGAUUAACAUGUAAUGCGUAAAUUCUUGUUAAAAUUAAUUUAGACCAUGCAUCAGUUGGGUUGAUGAAAAAAUGGAAGUUAUAGCUGUACAGUUAACUAUUGUGCAAGAAGGGAGAUAGAUGUAAAGCAUUAAAAAUGAAGUAGAAUACCAUGAACCAUCAGGAUUUUGUUUGUCUUCAAGGUAUUGAAUUGCUUUAGCAAUACUGUGAUCUAUUUCUGUUCUUCUAUGCUUUGGGUACAACUUUCUAAAGAGCGCCAAACCCUGUAUUGCUGACCCUGUGCACUCCACAUACCUGUUUCAUAAAAUGGCACAGUGUAAGAGUCGGAUAAGCUGCAAUAACCAGUACAUUAAUUAUUUGAUUACAGCAUUUUUAACGGCACAAAUCUUACUCCAUCUCAAUUAGAGUGUCUUCAAAGAAUUCUGUUGGAUUAAAUUUCUGCAAAACGCAUGAAUGUCACUUUGUUUAGAUUUGCUCCUCAAUUUUUUGCAUACUCAACUUUUUUUCUUCUUACCUCUAACCAACGGUAGGCCCUCUGAGGUUCCCAAGCUGGGAAUCCACCAUUGCUACUCUGUAUGUGAAAUCAACCAUAUGUGGAAUCAAGCAUGUUUAGGUUUCUAUUAAUGAUUGGCUGUUCUGCUUUGGAGAGAGAAUAGAUUGUAGUUAGAAAGGCUUACUUGCAGAGAAAGGAUGACAUUAACAGCAUCAUAGAAGCGUUGUGUUUCCAUUUUCUCCCCUACUAGAUCAGUAGGCAUUUGAGAGAACAAGAGUGCAGCCUGCAAUAAGAUGCGGAAAAAUGAUCCAAUGUAAAAGCUGUAGUCACCUGAGAACAUUUUUCCAAUAUAAAAAAUCACUUGCACUUUCAAAUAUUCAUAUGAACCUUGAGUCCUUCUGCUGUGCAAUCAGAGACUUGCCAACCAUGAUCUUGCAUUGAGAAUGUCCAUGAUCCUUUGCAUAUGUGUCUGAACAUGGCUUUGAAGUCACCUGAAGGGUUGUCUCGCACCUUCAAAUAUAUUCAAGUCUUUAGAUUCAAUUGAAAACAGAGAGAAUUUAACCGGACUAACUGCCAUGGAUGAAGUGACAAGUUGUAACCUGUGAAGCCUUCACAAAGUCAUGUGCUUUUCGAAGUGUAGGUCCAUAUUCUUCAUUCAGAUUACAAGAAAGGAUUGCUUGUAUAGCAAACGCUGCAUCCCACAUUUGACACCCAAAACUCUAUAAACUAGUUAUAGUACUAACCUGGAUUUUCAAGCCGUCCUCAGCGAGCCAGAAGUAAUCAGGAAUUCUGGCCAGAUGAAGUCUGUAUGCCUCUGAGUUGGGGUCUUCAACCCAACGGGCUAUCAAACAUAACACCUGUCAUGUCCAUGCAGUAACAAUAUUACAACCUGUUCAGAUAAACUCAAAGACAUUGGUGAAUUUUUAAAGUCUGUUCGUAUAUAUAAAAUCUGGAGGAACUGGUACUCGCUAGCUAAGAACAGUACUAGUUCCACCACCUUUCUGGGCUGCGUUUUUUUUUUUUUUUUUUUGCCUCUUCCUUCUUGAUGUUGAGAUGUAUGCAAUAAAGCUUCUAUCUCAACCUGUACAGGUUAUGGGCACAUCUAGUCAUGUGUAGUGUACAUAUACAAUAUAUAUACAUACCUUUUCU